GACGAACGCUGGCGGCGUGCUUAACACAUGCAAGUCGAACGGAAAGGCCCUGCUUUUGUGGGGUGCUCGAGUGGCGAACGGGUGAGUAACACGUGAGUAACCUGCCCUUGACUUUGGGAUAACUUCAGGAAACUGGGGCUAAUACCGGAUAGGAGCUCCUGCUGCAUGGUGGGGGUUGGAAAGUUUCGGCGGUUGGGGAUGGACUCGCGGCUUAUCAGCUUGUUGGUGGGGUAGUGGCUUACCAAGGCUUUGACGGGUAGCCGGCCUGAGAGGGUGACCGGCAACAUUGGGACUGAGAUACGGCCCAGACUCCGACGGGAGGCAGCAGUGGGGAAUAUGGCACAAUGGGAGGAAGCCUGAUGCAGCAGCGCCGCGUGCGGGAUGAGGGCAUUCGGGUUGUAAACCGCUUGCGCCUGUGACGAAGCGUGAGUGACGGUAAUGGGUAAAGAAGCACCGGCUAACUACGUGC
rnacentral:rRNA from 1 species